CCCGUCACGCCAUGGAAGCUGUGAGAGCCCGAAGUCCGUGUCGCAACCCUCACGGGAGCAAGCGGCCGAAGGCGAGCGCAGUGACUGGGGCG
rnacentral:rRNA from 1 species